rnacentral:rRNA from 1 species
UACGUAGGGCGCAAGCGUUAUCCGGAAUUAUUGGGCGUAAAGAGCUCGUAGGCGGUUUGUCGCGUCUGCUGUGAAAACUGGAGGCUCAACCUCCAGCCUGCAGUGGGUACGGGCAAACUAGAGUGCGGUAGGGGAGAUUGGAAUUCCUGGUGUAGCGGUGGAAUGCGCAGAUAUCAGGAGGAACACCGAUGGCGAAGGCAGAUCUCUGGGCCGUAACUGACGCUGAGGAGCGAAAGCAUGGGGAGCGAACAGG